GAUGAACGCUAGCUACAGGCUUAACACAUGCAAGUCGAGGGGCAGCAUGACGAUAGCUUGCUAUUGUCGAUGGCGACCGGCGCACGGGUGAGUAACGCGUAUCCAACCUUCCCGUUGCUAGGGGAUAACCUUGCGAAAGUAAGACUAAUACCCUAUGAGGUUCUUCGCAGGCAUCUAAAGAGAACGAAAGAUUUAUCGGCAACGGAUGGGGAUGCGUCUGAUUAGGUUGUUGGCGGGGUAACGGCCCACCAAGCCCACGAUCAGUAGGGGUUCUGAGAGGAAGGUCCCCCCACAUUGGAACUGAGACACGGUCCAAACUCCUACGGGAGGCAGCAGUGAGGAAUAUUGGUCAAUGGACGCAAGUCUGAACCAGCCAAGUAGCGUGCAGGAUGACGGCCCUAUGGGUUGUAAACUGCUUUUAUGCGGGGAUAAAGUGUGGGACGUGUCCCAUAUUGCAGGUACCGCAUGAAUAAGGACCGGCUAAUUCCGUGCCAGCAGCCG
rnacentral:rRNA from 1 species